UACGUAGGGUGCGAGCGUUAAUCGGAAUUACUGGGCGUAAAGCGUGCGCAGGCGGUUCGUUAAGUCAGCUGUGAAAGCCCCGGGCUUAACCUGGGAAUGGCGGUUGAAACUGGCGAACUUGAAUCUGGCAGAGGGGGGUGGAAUUCCGCGUGUAGCAGUGAAAUGCGUAGAGAUGCGGAGGAACACCGAUGGCGAAGGCAGCCCCCUGGGCCAAUACUGACGCUCAGGCACGAAAGCGUGGGGAGCAAACAGG
rnacentral:rRNA from 1 species